GAUGAACGCUGGCGGCAUGCCUAAUACAUGCAAGUCGAGCGAACAGAUAAGGAGCUUGCUCCUUUGACGUUAGCGGCGGACGGGUGAUUAACACGUGUGUAACCUACCUAUAAGACUGUAAUAACUCCGGGAAACCGGGGCUAAUGCCGGAUAACAUUUAGAACCGCAUGGUUCUAAAGUGAAAGAUGUUUUUGCUAUCACUUAUAGAUGGUCCCGCGCCGUAUUAGCUAGUUGGUAAGGUAACGGCUUACCAAGGCAACGAUACGUAGCAGACCUGAGAGGGGGAUCGGCCACACUGGAACUGAGACACGGUCCAGACUCCUACGGGAGGCAGCAGUAGGGAAUCUUCCGCAAUGGGCGAAAGCCUGACGGAGCAACGCCGCGUGAGUGAUGAAGGUCUUCGGAUCGUAAAACUCUGUUAUUAGGGAAGAACAAAUGUGUAAGUAACUGUGCACGUCUUGACGGUACCUAAUCAGAAAGCCACGGCUAACUACGUG
rnacentral:rRNA from 1 species